CAGCGCCACAAGUGGCAAUCACGUUUAUUGGGCCUAAAGCGUCCGUAGCCGGUUUAGCAAAUCUUUUGUGAAAUCGUCAGGCUUAACUUGACGAAUUGCUGAAGACACUACUAAACUAGGGACUGGGAGGAGUCAGAAGUAUUCUGGGGGGACCGGUAAAAUGGUAUAAUCCCCAGAGGACUACCGAUGGCGAAGGCAUCUGACCAGAACAGAUCCGACGGUGAGGGACGAAAGCCAGGGGAGCAAACCGGAUUAGAUACCCGAGUAGUCC
rnacentral:rRNA from 1 species